rnacentral:rRNA from 1 species
GGUUAAGUGACUAAGCGUACAUGGUGGAUGCCUUGGCAGUCAGAGGCGAUGAAGGACGUACUAACCUGCGAUAAGCCGUGAGCAGUCGGUAAGAGACAUUACGACUCACGGAUUUCCGAAUGGGGAAACCCACUUAGCAUAAGCUAGGUAUCGCUACGUGAAUACAUAGCGUAGCGAGGCGAACCGGGAGAACUGAAACAUCUAAGUACCCCGAGGAAAAGAAAUCAACCGAGAUUCCCUCAGUAGCGGCGAGCGAACGGGGAUUAGCCCUUAAGCAUCUUGGA